rnacentral:rRNA from 1 species
UUGACCUCGGAUCGAGGUAGGAAUACCCGCUGAACUUAAGCAUAUCAAA